UCUCCGUAGGUGAACCUGCGGAGGGAUCAUUACCGAAUGUGGAACUCCCAGGCCCCACUUCGCACCCUGUGUUUUGGUGACCUUGUUGCUCUGGCGGGUCCGCCACGAUGAGAGGCCGCCGGAGGCUCACCGAUCUGGGCUCGUACCCGACACUUGUCACCAUAACUACUUAAGAAACCUAACGUCUGAGUCCAGAUAACUUAAAAAAAACGUUCAACAAGCGAUCUCUUGGUUCUGGCAUCGAACAGAUAGGCAGCAGACACGAAGAGCACACGGCUU
rnacentral:misc_RNA from 1 species